rnacentral:rRNA from 1 species
AACGUAGGGGGCGAGCGUUAUCCGGAUUUACUGGGCGUAAAGCGCACGUAGGCGGCGCCGUAAGUUGGGCGUGAAAGCUCUCGGCUUAACCGGGAGAGGUCGUUCAAAACUGCGGUGCUCGAGGUUGACAGAGGAGAGUGGAAUUCCCGGUGUAGUGGUGGAAUGCGUAGAUAUCGGGAGGAACACCAGUGGCGAAGGCGACUCUCUGGGUCACACCUGACGAUGAGGUGCGAAAGCGUGGGGAGCGAACGGG